rnacentral:lncRNA from 1 species
CCCGCCUGCCAGGGACGGUGACCGGAGCCAAAGGUGUCUGCCUGGGAAUUGAGGGGAGUGCGGGAAACGGCAGCUGGAAGAGGGGGCAUCGCCCCUGCCAGAUGUUUUCUUAGCCAGGAGGAGGGGAGGUUGUUGAAAAUCCACAGGAGGCCUCAGAGAGAGAGGGCUGGGUUGGGGCAUUGCCGCUGUGGCCUCCGGCCAGAUUCCGGCCACCCCAGAGAGCCCUGCUGUCACCAUUUUCUGUGGCUCCUCCCCCUCCCCUUCCACUCUGUCCCCCCUUCCAGGCCUGGCUCUGAGAGCAGCGGGUGACACAGAGCAGUGGAGGGAGGUGAGGAAAUGAGCCUCAGCUGGGUCCCCUUUCAGCUGGAUCUCUGGCCUCUGAGCACCUUCCUCAUCCAGACAGGAAGCCGCUCUGGUCCCCAGCAGCUCUGGGAAAGGACUCUCAGACCCAGAGUCCCCCGGGUCCCCAGGAGGGAACCCUGGCUUGAGGGGUGCUGACCAAGGGCCCUUCACAGAGUGAUGCUUCUAGGCCUGCCUUGACGGGGCGCUCACUCCUCCCAGGGCAGCAUCUUCAUGUGGGGCAGAAAUUUCCAGCACUGCUGAGCACUUCCUAUGUGCUCGGCAGGGCUGGGCCAGUUUUGAGGGACCUGAAAGUUACCCAAUUUUAUGAGCCCUCCUUAAAAAACAAAAUACUCCCAAAUACAAAAUCAAGUACAAAAGUAAAUAAUCAGAAUCCGAAUCAGAAAAGAGAUUACAAUCAUUUGCGAAAUUUUAAAAGUAGGUGAUACCACAAAUACCACUAUGUUCAGAAAAAUAACAUAACCUUUUCCUUAAGUUUCAGGAAUACCUUUAGGACACCUUUUUCUUAUAAAUUGGGACCACAUACUCUUUCUUUGCCUCAUAAUAACUUUUGUAAUAUUUUCUGUAGAAAGAAACAGAUCUGGAAUUCCUAUUGUGGCUCAGCGGAAAUGAACCUGCCUAGUAUCCAUGAGGUUGUGGGUUUGAUCCCUGGCCCCACUCAGUGGGUUAAGGACCGGCGUUGCCACGAGCUGUGAUGGAGGUCACAGACGUGGCUUGGGUCCCAAGUUGCUGUGGCUGUGGUGUAGGUUGGCAGCUACAGCUCUGAUUCAGUGCCUAGCCUGGGAACUUCCACAUGCUGCGGGUGAGACCCUAAAAAAAAGCAGAAAGAAAGAGAGAGAGAGAAAGAAAGAAAAGAAGGAAGGAAGGAAGGAAAGGAAGAAAGAAAGAAAGAAAAGAAAGAAAGAAAAAG